AUCAAACGCAGAUUCAUUUGAAAUAUGUGCAAUGUUACUUAACCUUUACUAAUUUAUUUAUUUAUUUUUUUGUUUUUGUGGGCUCCCAUUUCAGCUGGACUCUGAGCGGCCGUCCCUGGGUACAACCCCCCUGCUCUCCACAAGUAGUUUUCCGGAUGAUAGAGGGAUUGAGGAAUUCAGGGAACCUGUCAAUUGUAUAAGGUAUCCUUUACUAGAUGAGAAUCUGAUGGAUGAAAGAGGUUGGCCUCUACCAGGGGACUACGGGGGAGGUAGAACAUUUACAACUCCUCAUUCCAACUUCAUGCAGUCAAACGGGGGGGCAUCCAACGGACAAGUCCCAAACUCAACUGAUCACCCUACCCAAAGGAAAAAGGUAAGUCUAUUUAUGCAUACAUUCACAAAUAAAAAAAAAAACAAAUUAUUGUUAUGAAAUAUUUGUGGAUAUUCAUUAUCCUCCUUUGUAUCAUUGCGGAACAAUCUAGAUCUAGAAUUAUCCAAUCAAACCCUAAUAUAUUGUAUGUAUAUAUACACCUUAUCAUAUGAAAUAAUAUACACAGAUUUAUUCUCUCCUCAAUUAUUCUCUUAUUCCCUUUAUUUUACAAUACGUUAUCAGCACCAAAUCUAACCAAAUGAUCAUAAUAUCAAGGGAAGUCUUAGAUUGUUAAUCUCGAUAUUGGCAAUCAAAGUAACCGUAAAAUUCAAUACGAUGGACUCGUUUGAUUGAUUAACCGCAAAUAUUAAUGCUGCCAAAGGUACGCUUAUUUCUGUUUUUGACGACAUGCUAAAAUCAUAUUCUAGUAGUUAUACACCUUUUGUAUGUAAGCCACAAUUAGAAUUUAGAAUUAGAUUAUUGAUGAUUAAUCGAUUGAAUGAUUUACCUAGAGUAUUAGAUCUGAUAGUCAAAGGUCCACAUAUGAUUUAUUGUUUUAUCAAUUAAUUUGUUUUGAAUAAUUUCUUGAUUGAUAAUAAUUUCUUAAGUGAUAGUAUCCUUGAAGAUAAAAUUUUGGAUCAGAUUUAAUUUAGGCAAUAUUAUAUGCUGACAAUGGUUUUCAUCCAUUCAAAUUGCAUAAUUAAUAAUAAUAAUGACCAUUACGCCUCCUCAUAAUCUAUGUAUGUUUGUUGUUUCUUUUGCCAGAGUAUAUUAUAUAGUUAAGCACCAAUUUCAUCUACUAUAUCUAAUUGGAUCCAUGUUUAAGAUUAAAUAGUUUAUAUAUAUAUAUUAGUCCGUGUCGCUUGCCUUUAGCCUCAUAUUAGACAAUGUUUAUUUACUGUAUUUGUUUGGUAUCUUUCAAAUCAUGUCAUGAUUUUGAUGAUAGGAUUGACAUAAUCUUAGUGAUAAUAUCUUUUUAUUAUCUUCCUUAAUUAUCUCCUAUAAACUAGAUGUACAUAUAUUGUUGCCACCAUUACUCCCUAGAUUGACAUUGACUUAUAUUCUCAAGCUUUAUGAAGGAAAUCAUCAAUAAAACAUUCUCUACACUUGUAUCCUAUGUUGUUCGUACUUGAUUAUUCUUUAAUUCACACACAUGUAUCAUGAACUAUAUCCCAACACUGUUGCAAUUAUUAAUCCUUUAUGGAUGUCAUUAUGUGUCAAUUUUAUUCUAUGUCUAAUGACUCGUGAUGGCUACUUAUGGCUACUUAGCAUUGCUCUCAUGAUCUUAUGUACCUGAUGUGGUUAAUUAUUCGAUUUGUUUAUAAUUCUACCAUGUAUGCAGUAGCAUUAUACUUAUAGUACUCUAUUAAACCUAUUACUUUCAUUCAUGAUUAUGUGAUUGGAGAGAGAGAAAUGAUUGAAAAAAAAAAUUAGAUAAAUAAAACCGAGCAAGUAUAUUGUUUGCGGAAUAGAUGGUUUUAUAAGCAUGAUUAAGUUAUUAUAUGAUGUUUCUUAUAUAUGACAUCAGAUUCUUAUAUAUGAUAAUUAAUUAUAAUGGUUAAUAACCAUGACACCGCUAUUAUAUGAGAUACUUAUGAUUUACUUUGAAGUGGAUAAUAAGACAAGGAGUGUAUUACUAGUAAUUUUAUUUCCUUAAGUAUAAUAUGAAAACAUACAUGUACAUGAUGACUUACAAAUGUCCAACAAUAGUUUCUAUGGUAUGUUGUUGGCUAUAUUAUCCUCCGUAAGCAAAACCAAUGUAUGUAAAGUGAAAAUAAAUACAUAAAUAAAUACUUUGAACAAUCGAUAUAUUAUUAUAUGGUCUUUGAGUGGAUAUCCUUAAUUCCAACUUUGGGUUAAAAGUGGAGAUCCUUGAUCCCAACUAGACUAUUAGCUCAUUCCCAGAAGUAAAUGAGCAAUCUCAAGAUUGAAACAAUAAUAAUAAUAAUAUAAGCAUGUUUGCAUGAUGUUAUUUUGAUAUAAUUCAUUGGAAAUUCAUGAGAAUUACCAAAACGAUUACAUAUAUUAGCUAUUUGAGCAAGAAAUAGUGUUAUGAGUUCAAGAAAUUACCCUUAUACCAGCCAAAUGUAAGGGCAUCGCCAGAGAAUGAGGCCCAGAUGAACUCACCAAGUAAACCAGAAACACGAUCUAAGGUGCCAGAGUCUCGGUCUAGGCUCCGAAAACAAUUGUUGGAUGGUGGUGAGAGUGUCCAGAGUGACGAUCACAGGGAACCUUUCAAUAAUGCAAGGUUAGUGCUGAAUGACGUUUUGAUUGGUGGAACACUUGAGAAUUAUGGAGAAGGUGACGUUUUGAUUGGUGGAACACUUGAGAAUUAUGGAGAAGGUGCAAGAUUACAAAGGGAACCUGUCAAUCGUGCAAGGUUUCCUCUUCUGGAUGAAGCUUUGAUUGCUGAAAGAGGUUGGCGUCUACCUACAGAUAAUGGGGGAGGUAAAAGCUUAACAGUUAGUCAAACUGGAAUUGCAUCCCGGGGCUUCCCAAUUUCUAGUACUGCAUCUACUACUCUCCAGACAGGGUCAAAACUCAAGCAGGUAAUACGUCAGUUUGAACAUACUCUUCAGUCGUUAUUUAAAUGGGCUAAGUAGCCUAACUGUGAGUAACACUUUCUGUACAAGUAACUGUAUUUGCAAGGUCAUUUUUGUGUACGAGUAGGACACAAAUCUCAUCUGUUGGCUAUAGCUUUCACAUCCUUCUGCUUAAUAGUGGAAUAUUGUACUCCUUUAUAUGGCUGUUUAUCUUUUGAUGGUAUGUAUCUGUGUUGUGUAUGGCGUACUUGGUUUGUGUACAACUAGGACAUUUAGGCCCCGUUUGUUUUGGUGUAAAUGUUUUAAUGAAGAAUGAUUUUCCGA